rnacentral:rRNA from 1 species
GAUGAACGCUGGCGGCGUGCCUAAUACAUGCAAGUCGAGCGAACAGACGAGGAGCUCGCUCCUCUGACGUUAGCGGCGGACGGGUGAGUAACACGUGGAUAACCUACCUAUAAGACUGGGAUAACUUCGGGAAACCGGAGCUAAUACCGGAUAAUAUAUUGAACCGCAUGGUUCAAUAGUGAAAGACGCUUUUGCUGUCACUUAUAGACGGAUCCGCGCCGCAUUAGCUAGUUGGUAAGGUAACGGCUUACCAAGGCAACGAUGCGUAGCCGACCUGAGAGGGUGAUCGGCCACACUGGAACUGAGACACGGUCCAGACUCCUACGGGAGGCAGCAGUAGGGAAUCUUCCACAAUGGGCGAAAGCUUGACGGAGCAACGCCGCGUGAGUGAUGAAGGUCUUCGGGUCGUAAAACUCUGUUAUUAGGAAAGAACAAAUGUGUAAGUAACUAUGCACGUCUUGACGGUACCUAAUCAGAAAGCCACGGCUAACUACGUG